rnacentral:rRNA from 1 species
AGAGUUUGAUCCUGGCUCAGAUUGAACGCUGGCGGCAUGCCUUACACAUGCAAGUCGAACGGCAGCACGGGAGCAAUCCUGGUGGCGAGUGGCGAACGGGUGAGUAAUAUAUCGGAACGUGCCCAGUCGUGGGGGAUAACGUAGCGAAAGCUACGCUAAUACCGCAUACGAUCUAUGGAUGAAAGCGGGGGAUCGCAAGACCUCGCGCGAUUGGAGCGGCCGAUAUCAGAUUAGCUAGUUGGUGGGGUAAAAGCCCACCAAGGCGACGAUCUGUAGCUAGUCUGAGAGGACGACCAGCCACACUGGAACUGAGACACGGUCCAGACUCCUACGGGAGGCAGCAGUGGGGAAUUUUGGACAAUGGGCGCAAGCCUGAUCCAGCAAUGCCGCGUGCAGGACGAAGGCCUUCGGG